GAUGAAGAACGCGGCGAAAUGCGAUAAGUAGUGUGAAUUGCAGAAUUCAGUGAAUCAUCGAAUCUUUGAACGCACAUUGCGCCUCCUGGUAUUCCGGGAGGCAUGCCUGUUCGAGCGUCAUCAAAAACCUCAACCCAUGAUUUAUUGUGAGUUGGUUCUGCAUUGGACUCCUUGUGGGUCCUUUGCGAAAUCCAAUGGCGAAGAGCCACGCAACCAAAGCGUAGUAUAACUAUUUCGUUAUGGAAGCGUGGGUGCCUCUGCCGUAACCCCCAAUUUCUUAGUUUUUGACCUCGGAUCAGGUAGGGAUACCCGCUGAACUUAAGCAUAUCAAUAAGCGGAGGA
rnacentral:misc_RNA from 1 species